AAACUGAGCAAAAAGGGCUGGUCCCCUUCUGUGUGAUCUAUUCCAGCCCUUUCAGAUUUAAUUGGCCUCUGAAAAUAUGAAUGGAUGAGAAAAUUCUGUGAUACAGGAUUUGUCCUGGAGACUGGAGGCAUGGUACAGUGAUAAGGACACACAUCUUAAGCUGUGUAUCCUCAAGUUGUGAACAAGAAGUGGGAGUGAGGGCUCUGCUGCAUGCCUGAGUUACCAGGUCCCAUUUCUCUCCACCUGCCCCCAUCUAUCCCCACAACUCUUUCCUGUGAGGGCACAUGCCCUGAUCCUGCGUUUGAGACACCUUCCAAGCACCAUGGGGCUUUGGGUCUUUUCCAGGUGGAAGAAGAGCUCUUUUCUCAUGCCCUAGGACUCCGUAACAACAUUCUCUAAGAAGAAGAACAACAUUCUCUAAGGAGUAGAAGUCAAAAUACCACUGCCAAAAAUACAACUACACCCAUGACUUACAAAUGGUUUUACUGGGAGUAGAACCCAAUGCUACACCCAUGAUUUACAAAUGGUUUUACUGGGAGUAGAACCCAAAUCCAUCUGGAUCAAGAUUGUCCUACCAAGAACUCAAAGAAAGGGUUGUCCAUCAGACACAAAUUUGUUCAGCUGUCAGAAAAGCACUUGGCAGCUGAGGUGUCUGCCUCUUAUGGCAGCAUGUGGCCCAGAGAUGGAGAGAGUUCAUCGUGAUCCCAGAGGCAGGCAGCUUUUCUUUCACUGGACUCAUCACCUGGGAACAGCCACAGGCAAGUCAGGUUUGGUGCACCAGCCCCAAUUUAGUCAUGGAAUAUGGUGUCCUGUCCACUGCUCUUGGUGCCCAGACUUUGUCCUCUG
rnacentral:lncRNA from 12 species